rnacentral:rRNA from 2 species
AUUGCCUCAGUAACGGCGAGUGAAGCGGCAAGAGCUCAAAUUUGAAAGCUGGCUCCUUCGGGGUCCGCAUUGUAAUUUGCAGAGGAUGCUUCGGGUGCGGCCCCUGUCUAAGUGCCCUGGAACGGGCCGUCAGAGAGGGUGAGAAUCCCGUCUGGGAUGGGGUGUCCGCGCCCGUGUGAAGCUCCUUCGACGAGUCGAGUUGUUUGGGAAUGCAGCUCUAAAUGGGUGGUAAAUUUCAUCUAAAGCUAAAUACUGGCCGGAGACCGAUAGCGCACAAGUAGAGUGAUCGAAAGAUGAAAAGCACUUUGAAAAGAGAGUUAAAAAGCACGUGAAAUUGUUGAAAGGGAAGCGCUUGCGACCAGACUCGCCUCCAGGGUUCAGCCGGCAUUCGUGCCGGUGUACUUCCCUGGGGGCGGGCCAGCGUCGGUUUGGGCGGCCGGUCAAAGGCUCCCGGAAUGUAGUGCCCUCCGGGGCACCUUAUAGCCGGGAGUGCAAUGCGGCCAGCCUGGACCGAGGAACGCGCUUCGGCACGGACGCUGGCA